rnacentral:rRNA from 2 species
UGUGUCUAAACGACUCUCGGCAACGGAUAUCUCGGCUCUCGCAUCGAUGAAGAACGUAGCGAAAUGCGAUACUUGGUGUGAAUUGCAGAAUCCCGUGAACCAUCGAGUCUUUGAACGCAAGUUGCGCCCGAAGCCGUCAGGCCGAGGGCACGCCUGCCUGGGCGUCACA